AGAGAAAAUAACCCUUGAGAAUGACUGGAGUUGAUUCAUCCUGUUGGGGGCAGACUGAAGAGGCCAGAGGCCAGCGCUCAGUUCCUUCUCCUGAGAGUCCCAGUACCACUGUGGAGAUUACAAAUUGUUCACCAAAAUCUGUUCUCCGUUCUUCCAUGGUAGUUGGGUACAUGGCUGAGUAUUAUUUCUUUCCUUCUGGAUCCAUUCUAAUGAGGCUUCUCUACCUCCUCAAACCAAGGAUGCUCACUGUGAUCCCAGCCAGACUCAGACCAUCAUUUCUCCAGUAUUACUGGUUACAUUACAUGGGCCUGUUCGGUGGGAGAGGAGACCACACCGAACAUGGGAACCAGGAUGAGAGAAUCAUGGGAGGUCAUCCUGGAGGCUCAGCUGCCAGAAAUCAUGGCGCUUUGAGUCAUGAAGCUCGGGAUGUGAGGUUUGCUUGGGCAGAUCUCCUACUGCAGGCCAGGAAUGUGUCAGAAACUUGCCUUAGAGAGAACACUGUCUUCAGAUGCUACAGAGCAGUGUGGUGACCAGUAGAAACUCCACACUUGAUGAGUGGCAAAUGGGACAGGGACAGGGUCUCACUAUGUUGCCCAGGCUGAUCUUGAACAUCUGGCUUCAAGGGAUCCUCCAUUCUUGGCCUCUCAGAGCACUGGGAUUACAG
rnacentral:lncRNA from 1 species